UUGUCUAAGCGGGUCUUGGAACAAAGAAACUUCCCCCAGGGUUUGGCCGGGAUGGGGAAAGGAGGGGGUUAGGUUAGAGGAGUUAAAAGGGCUAGGUAAAGGUACCACAACCAGUGGGGGCUUAUUUAAUGCUGCACACAAGAAACAACAGGAGAUGUUGUGCACUCUGACCAUAUGUACUACCUGGGCCCCUUCUCUGACUAGGGUUAGCCAAGAAAAAGGGUUACCAUUUCCCUGAGGCUUGUUGUCUGAGUUGGCUGUGUUGUCUGGGUUGGCUAGAGCUGAGAUGACUUUUUCUUGUUUGAUGUUGGAGGCCAGGCUGAUGAAGCUGCUUGUGACCCUGACAUAGGCUCUAUAAAUCUUGAGUCAGGCUACGGGAUAAGAUUCGUAGCCGUGCCGGUAAAGGCGAACCUCUAUACCUGAUGCCCACCGAGGGUCCCACGGGUCAGGAAUGGUAAAGAAGAAUGUAGGCACUUCUCCUCGUCCGUAUGAUCUGACUAACUGAACUGUUGAUGCCAGUUGCUGCCACUUGGUGUAUGACAUGUCAAGUGGAUGAUGGCUACCUCUUUGGGGGCCUGGAGAGCAUCAAGAAACCUCUUUAUAUGUGGUCCAUUGACUACUGGCGUCCCUUUGGUGAUAAGAAACCCGCACUCUUGCCAGAGAGUGGAGUGAGUAUGUGCAAUAAGCAGAAACGUCUUGCUUCUAAUUGGCCAUCUUGGCUUGUGCCCUCCAUGUCACCUUCUAUAAAAUGCCCCGAUCUCCAGGAAGGAUGUCAUUAUAUAACUGCCUGGAACCAACAGAAUGCUCAUUUCACUUAUCGCGGGCUCUUUUACUUCACUUAUAAUGAACGUGGCCAUGGAUGUGCUACUGGAUGUAGUGGUUCAUUUUCUGACAGAUAGAAAAAUGGUUUGCUGACCAAUUAAUGACAUAUGUCUGAAAACUAGCAAUGAGAACCUUAAUUGCCAUGUCGAGGUUACUAAUCAAGAAGAUGCUUAUCUAUGUACUCAACAAUGCAACUUCCCUUGCUUAUGAGCUGCUGUAAUGCUUCAAAAACAACAUCUCAUAUUUCCUGAAGAAGAUGAUGCCUGGACAACUGGCACAAGUUGUCAAGGAUUACUUUCUCUUCAUAAAUCCAGCAUGAUAUUCGAAUGAUUGUCAAGAAAUCUUAUCAGUUAAUGAGUCCUGCACCUUUCCUUUAAUUUUAGAAGGAAAGAGUAAUCCGUUGAGUUUCCUGACCUACCCGGCUGCUGUGAUUCAAAAACCAACACGAAAUUUUGAUGAUGGUGAUUUCCCAAGCUCCUCCCACUCCCUGACAAAGGAAAAGGCAUUGAAAAUAUGAAAAUAAAGUGUUAUUUGGCUGGAGUGAGGUCUCAUGGCCGUUUAUGUGGUGGCGUGCUGCUCAGGGCAUGGUGAGUCUCUGGGCUGUGUGCUGAGGAGAGGAGCCUCUCAAACUGGAGAAAACAUUGCUAGGGACACCUCAUGGGGUCUGAAGGGCUGAGGAUGAGGAGGUGGACUGAGUCUAGGGAAGGAGGAGGUUUCAGAGGGUAAAAUUCUGGAAGUAAAUCCUGGGGGUGUUUGAAAACUUCCUCCCUCAGAAGUAGAAAAUUCAGGGAGGGGUAAGGACAAACCGUGGGUGACUUAAGGGGCAUUUACUAGUUUGAGAGGACUCUAAUGGCAAGCAGAGUGACAAUGGCCUCCUUGAGGACUGAGGCCCCUGAAUAAAUAAGGCCUAGAUCCAGUCCAUGGAGGAUAAAUGCCCCCAUGGCAUUUAUGCCCCCAUGAGACCUUCAAGGGACAUAUUUUGGUUGGGACAGAGGAAAAGUACAGCUCUGCAGCCCUCCAACCCCUCUUUUUCCCCCAUGCUGGCUCCGGGAUCCUUCUGUGCUCAGACAACCUCCUCUGUGUCCCACUCUGAUUUUUAGGAUGCUUUGGGGCUCCCUAAAGGUUUCUGGCCUGAGAUCCACCUCUUUCCAGGCUCCCUUCUUCUCUUGAAAGCCUUCCUGACUUUAGCCCCACUUCUGCCUCUGAGGUAUGGACACCGUCCUCUUCAUCCUCAUUCUUUUGACCCCCAGCUUCUUCAGAAUCCUACCCUCUGUCUCAUCUCAUGAAUCCCGUCCAGGUGUUUCUCGGCCCCUUCAUCUGAUACCCCUGACCUCACAUGGCCAAAAGUCUACCCCUUCCCCAGCAACAUGGGAAAUAGACAAAAUCCCAGGAGUUUUACCUCAAAAGUGAGUGUGCCCACAGGGGCUCUUUUUAUUAUUAUUAUACUUUAAGUUCUAAGGUACAUGUGCACAAUGUGCAGGUUUGUUACAUAUGUAUACGUGUGCCAUGUUGGUGUGCUUCACCUGUUAACUCAUCAUUUACAUUAGGUAUAUCUCCUAGUGCUAUCCCUCCUCCUUCCCCCAACCCCAUGACAGGCCCCGGUGUGUGAUUGUUCAUUUCCUAUGAGUGAUAACAUGUUUUAUUUGGUUAUCUGUCCAUGUGAGAGUUUGCUCAGAAUGAUGUUUUCCAGCUUCAUCCAUGUCCCUACAUGAACUCAUCUUUUUUAUGGCUGCAUAGAAUUCCAUGGUGUAUAUGUGCCAAAUUUUCAUGAUCCAGUCUAUCAUUGAUGGACAUUUGGGUUGGUUCCAAGUCUUUGCUAUUGUGAAUAGUGCUGCAAUAAACAUACGUGUGCAUGUGUGUUUAUAUAGCAUGAUUUAUAAUCCUUUGGGUAUAUGUCCAGUAAUGGGAUGGCUGGGUCAAAUGGUAUUUCUA
rnacentral:lncRNA from 10 species